AAAUAGAUACCCCCGGGUAGUCCACGCCGUAAAACGAAUGAGUGCUAAGUGUUGGGGGGGUUUCCGCCCCUCAGUGCUGCAGCUAACGCAUUAAGCACUCCGCCUGGGGAGUACGGUCGCAAGACUGAAACUCAAAGGAAUUGACGGGGGCCCGCACAAGCGGUGGAGCAUGUGGUUUAAUUCGAAGCAACGCGAAGAACCUUACCAGGUCUUGACAUCCCGGGUGACCACUAUGGAGACAUAGUUUCCCCUUCGGGGGCAACGGUGACAGGUGGUGCAUGGUUGUCGUCAGCUCGUGUCGUGAGAUGUUGGGUUAAGUCCCGCAACGAGCGCAACCCUUAUUCUUAGUUGCCAUCAUUCAGUUGGGCACUCUAAGGAGACUGCCGGUGAUAAACCGGAGGAAGGUGGGGAUGACGUCAAAUCAUCAUGCCCCUUAUGACCUGGGCUACACACGUGCUACAAUGGACGGUACAAACGGUUGCCAACCCGCGAGGGGGAGCGUAAUCCGAUAAAACCGUUCUCAGUUCGGAUUGUAGGCUGCAACUCGCCUACAUGGAACG
rnacentral:rRNA from 1 species